AAAAAUCAAGAUAUCAAUUCAAAAGCUUUUAGGACCCCAAAAGUUAAAAUUAUCAAAAUUUCAGUAAAGAAUAAUAAAAAAAAAAAAAUAUUAAAAAUAUGUGUGACCCAUUUGCUUUAAAUUCCUAUGGUUCAUGUUGCAUACAGUGUGAUCCUUGCUGCAUACCUUAUGGGCCUUAUUUUGGAUCCGAAGUGGAAGCAAUACCACAAAUUCUUCCACAAAAACCAAUUUCAUCUUUAAAAAAGAAACCUGUUAAAAGAAACAAGGUUAAACCUUUGAUGGUAGAAAAGAUAAACAAAAAUAGAACUAAAAUAAAAUUGCCAAAAACUCGAA